AUUGAACGCUGGCGGCAUGCCUUACACAUGCAAGUCGAACGGUAACGCGGGGCAACCUGGCGACGAGUGGCGAACGGGUGAGUAAAGCAUCGGAACGUGCCCAGUAGUGGGGGAUAGCCCGGCGAAAGCCGGAUUAAUACCGCAUACGACCUAUGGGUGAAAGGGGGGGAUCGCAAGACCUCUCGCUAUUGGAGCGGCCGAUGUCAGAUUAGGUCGUUGGUGGGGUAAAGGCCUACCAAGCCGACGAUCUGUAGCUGGUCUGAGAGGACGACCAGCCACACUGGGACUGAGACACGGCGCAGACUCCUACGGGAGGCAGCAGUGGGGAAUUUUGGACAAUGGGCGCAAGCCUGAUCCAGCCAUGCCGCGUGCGGGAAGAAGGCCUUCGGGUUGUAAACCGCUUUUGUCAGGGAAGAAAUCCUUUGGGUUAAUACCUCGGGGGGAUGACGGUACCUGAAGAAUAAGCACCGGCUAACUACGUGCCAGCCGCCGCGGUAAUAC
rnacentral:rRNA from 1 species